AUUACUUCGAAAUUAACAAUGUUUGUGAUGUGACCUCCAAAAAUGAUCAUGAGUAUUUGAAGUGACUAGAAACUAAAUGCGUUGUUUUAAUUAUGACACUAUACAUCUUUAAUUUAUCGAUGCAUGCAUUAAGUAGUUUCUGAAACAUGUAACAAUUUCAGUGGCACUUGUAAGUAUAACAGUUAAAUAUGAUUGAAAAGAGUUGAAAAUUUAUCGAAGAUGUUUUAAAUAUCUAAAUCAAGAAUAGUUACUUAAUUAUAAUAUAUAUACAGGCUUUGGAAAU
rnacentral:lncRNA from 1 species